AGAGUNUGAUCCAUGGCUCAGAACGAACGCUGGNGGCAGGCUUAACACAUGUCAACGUCGAUGCGCCCCGGCAAGGGGAGCGGCAGANGGGAUGAGUAACGCGUGGGAAUCUACCCAUCUCUACNGAAUAACUCAAGGAAACUUGUGCUAAUACCGUAUACGCCCUUUUGGGGAAAGAUUUAUCGGAGAUGGAUGAGCCCGCGUUGGAUUACCUAGUNGGUGGGGUAAAGGCCUACCAAGGCCGACUAUCCAUAUCUGGUCUGANAGGAUGAUCAGCCACAUUGGGACUGANACACGGCCCAAACUCCUACGGGAGGCAGCAGUGGGGAAUAUUGGACAAUGGGCGCAAGCCUGAUCCAGCCAUGCCGCGUGUGUGAUGAAGGCCUUAGGGUUGUAAANCACUUUCACCGGACAAGAUAAUGACGGUAUCCGGAUAANAAGCCCCGGACUAACUUCGUGCCAUCAGCCGCNGUAAUACGAAGGGGGCUAGCGUUGUUCGGAAUUACUGGGCGUAAAGCGCACGUAGGCGGAUCGAUCANNUCAGGGGGUGAAAUCCCAGAGCUCNACUCNGGAACUGNCUUUGAUACUGUCGGGUCUACAGUAUGGAAGAGGUGAGUGGAAUUCCGAGUNUANANGUGAAAUUCGGUAGAUAUUCCGGANGANCACCNGUGGNGAAGGCGGCUCACUGGUCCAUUACUGACGCUGAGGU
rnacentral:rRNA from 1 species